rnacentral:rRNA from 1 species
ACUCAAAUGAAUUGACGGGGGCCCGCACAAGCGGUGGAGCAUGUGGUUUAAUUCGAUGCAACGCGAAGAACCUUACCUGGUCUUGACAUCCACGGAAGUUUUCAGAGAUGAGAACGUGCCUUCGGGAGCCGUGAGACAGGUGCUGCAUGGCUGUCGUCAGCUCGUGUUGUGAAAUGUUGGGUUAAGUCCCGCAACGAGCGCAACCCUUAUCCUUUGUUGCCAGCGAUUCGGUCGGGAACUCAAAGGAGACUGCCAGUGAUAAACUGGAGGAAGGUGGGGAUGACGUCAAGUCAUCAUGGCCCUUACGACCAGGGCUACACACGUGCUACAAUGGCAUAUACAAAGAGAAGCGACCUCGCGAGAGCAAGCGGACCUCAUAAAGUAUGUCGUAGUCCGGAUUGGAGUCUGCAACUCGACUCCAUGAAGUCGGAAUCGCUAGUAAUCGUGGAUCAGAAUGCCACGGUGAAUACGUUCCCGGGCCUUGUACACACCGCCCGUCACACCAUGGGAGUGGGUUGCAAAAGAAGUAGGUAGCUUAACCUUCGGGAGGGCGCUUACCACUUUGUGAUUCAUGACUGGGGUGAAGUCGUAACAAGGUAACCGUAGGGGAACCUGCGGUUGGAUCACCUCCUUACCUUAAAGAA